rnacentral:rRNA from 1 species
GGAUGAACGCUGGCGGUAUGCCUAACACAUGGCAAGUCGUACGAGAGGUUUUUAACUCUAGUGGCGGACGGGUGAGUAACACCGUGAGAAUUUGCCUUUAGGAGGGGGACAACAAUCGGAAACGAAUGCUAAUACCCCAUAUGCUUUCGAGUGAAAUGGAUUUUAUCCGCCUAGAGAGAAGCUCGCGCGAUUUAGAGCGGCCGAUAUCUGAUUAGCUUGUUGGUGGGGGUAAAAAGCCCACCAAGGCGACGAUCAGUAGCUGGUCUGAGAGGACGAUCAGCCACACUGGGACUGAGACACGGCCCAGACUCCUACGGGAGGCAGCAGUGGGGAAUUUUGGACAAUGGGGGCAACCCUGAUCCAGCAAUGCCGCGUGAGUGAAGAAGGCCUUCGGGUUGUAAAGCUCUUUUGUCAGGGAAGAAACAGCAGCUCUUAACACAGUCUGCGAAUGACGGUACCUGAAGAAUAAGCACCGGCUAACUACGUG